rnacentral:rRNA from 1 species
AACGAACGCUGGCGGCAGGCCUAACACAUGCAAGUCGAGCGAGAUCUUCGGGUCUAGCGGCGGACGGGUGAGUAACGCGUGGGAAUAUGCCUCUUGGUACGGAAUAGCCCCGGGAAACUGGGAGUAAUACCGUAUGUGCCCUUUGGGGGAAAGAUUUAUCGCCAAGAGAUUAGCCCGCGUUGGAUUAGGUAGUUGGUGGGGUAAUGGCCUACCAAGCCGACGAUCCAUAGCUGGUUUGAGAGGAUGAUCAGCCACACUGGGACUGAGACACGGCCCAGACUCCUACGGGAGGCAGCAGUGGGGAAUCUUAGACAAUGGGGGCAACCCUGAUCCAGCAAUUCUGUGUGCACGAAGACGGUUUUCGGAUUGUAAAGUGCUUUCAGCAGGGAAGAAGGAAGUGACGGUACCUGCAGAAGAAGCGACGGCUAAAUACGUGCCAGCAGCCGCGGUAAUACGUAUGUCGCGAGCGUUAUCCGGAAUUAUUGGGCAUAAAGGGCAUCUAGGCGGCCUUUCAAGUCAGGGGUGAAAACCUGCGGCUCAACCGCAGGCCUGCCUUUGAAACUGAUAGGCUGGAGUACCGGAGAGGUGGACGGAACUGCACGAGUAGAGGUGAAAUUCGUAGAUAUGUGCAGGAAUGCCGAUGAUGAAGAUAGUUCACUGGACGGUAACUGACGCUGAAGUGCGAAAGCCGGGGGAGCGAACAGG